GAUGAACGCUGGCGGCGUGCCUAAUACAUGCAAGUCGAGCGAACAGACGAGGAGCUUGCUCCUCUGACGUUAGCGGCGGACGGGUGAGUAACACGUGGAUAACCUACCUAUAAGACUGGGAUAACUUCGGGAAACCGGAUCUAAUACCGGAUAAUAUAUUGAACCGCAUGGUUCAAUAGUGAAAGACGGUUUUGCUGUCACUUAUAGAUGGAUCCGCGCCGCAUUAGCUAGUUGGUAAGGUAACGGCUUACCAAGGCUACGAUGCGUAGCCGACCUGAGAGGGUGAUCGGCCACACGGGAACUGAGACACGGUCCAGACUCCUACGGGAGGCAGCAGUAGGGAAUCUUCCGCAAAGGGCGAAAGCCUGACGGAGCAACGCCGCGUGAGUGAUGAAGGUCUUCGGAUCGUAAAACUCUGUUAUUAGGGAAGAACAAAUGUGUAAGUAACUAUGCACGUCUUGACGGUACCUAAUCAGAAAGCCACGGCUAACUACGUG
rnacentral:rRNA from 1 species